AUCGCUUCUCGGCCUUUUGGCUAAGAUCAAAGUGUAGUAUCUGUUCUUUUCAGCUUAAUAUCUGAAAGUUCUCUCACCGAGGGACCAGUAUAUUAAACUGAUUUUUGUAUGACGAGAGGAUGUUCGGGGCUCGCUCCACUCAAGGGUCGGCCUGGCAUUGCAGUGCCGCCGGGAUCAGCCCACAAAAA